rnacentral:rRNA from 1 species
CAAAAAGACCCUAUGAAGCUUUACUGUAGCUUGAUAUUGGCUCCGGGCUUUGUUUGCGCAGGAUAGGUGGGAGGCGUUGAAACUCUUCUUGUGGGAAGGGUGGAGCCGUUGGUGAGAUACCACUCUAACAAUGCUAGGAUUCUAACCCUACACCGUUAUCCGGUUAGGGGACAGUUUCAGGUGGUCAGUUUGACUGGGGCGGUCGCCUCCCAAAAGGUAACGGAGGCGUGCAAAGGUUUCCUCAGACUGGUCGGAAAUCAGUCGUAGAGUGUAAAGGCAUAAGGAAGCUUGAUUGUGAGACCUACAAGUCGAACAAAGACGAAAGUCGGCCUUAGUGAUCCGACGGUUCCGAGUGGAAGGGCCGUCGCUCAACGGAUAAAAGUUACUCUAGGGAUAACAGGCUGA